rnacentral:pre_miRNA from 1 species
UUCAGAUGAUACAGCAGUUUGUUCAGUUUGAUGGUUUGCAGGAUGAGGAAACUGAACAAACUGCUGUAUCAUCUGAA